GCCUCUUUAAGUCUCAUUUCCACGGUUCAUCCUUUUGUUUCUUCUUCUUUUACAAAACCGAACGCAUAUGAAAGAAUAGGGCAAGCGUACAACUUCAUUUCCUGACAUCUUCCUGCUUCGGUUUCUCCAAAGAAAUCAAAGACAACAACCUUAAGAUCAUACCCCAAGUGAAAGCGCCUUGUAAGAAGCCUUAUUUGGUGAGAUAUUCCCCUUCCAUGGUUGCGACCUCAAGGCUGUCAAGGGAGCUCUCGUGGACUGCCUUCUUUAUUUCUUGUUGGAGAAAAUAUCCUAGCUUCUAGAGAAGUUAAUUAAGAGUGUAAUCGGACGAAGUAGGUGGACGAACAACUUGUAGACAACCAAGUUACGAUGUAUUAAAUAGCAAGUUAGCAGCAGGAAAGAGGUGACAGGAAGUGGACUCUUGGGUGGAGACUGCUCCAUAAACCCCAAGUUUAUUGAGAUUCAUUCUCACCCCGCGUUAUGGGGACAUAUUUCAGGUAUCGCAGCAGUUGACGAUCGUUCUCGGGGCAAGAGGCCCGUGGUUGAUGAGUAGAUCUAAGCAUAGAUGAUGCCUGCUUAUUUUGGUAGUCUGUCGUAUUUAUAUGUACACUGUGAUGUAUUAUGUUUAUGUAGGUUGAUGUAGGAUGUUGUAGUUAUGACACAUAGCCACCUUUUAAUGUGAUAUAUAUAGAGUUAUGGAUCAUGCAUGUAUAUUACUGUAUAUGAUAUGGAAUUGUUGUAUAUUGUGGGUUGUAAGAGCCCCAAGGCAUUGUUGGUCCUUGUGUGUGCCACCCACUGAUUAUUAGGUACCAUUUGAGGUCAUAGACCACUUGUACAAAUUUGGAAAAUGUUGGAAAAACAAAGGAAAU